rnacentral:rRNA from 1 species
GAUGAACGCUGGCGGCGUGCCUAACACAUGCAAGUCGAGCGAUUUACUUCGGUAAAGAGCGGCGGACGGGUGAGUAACGCGUGGGUAACCUGCCCUAUACACACGGAUAACAUAGCGAAAGGUAUGCUAAUACGAGAUAAUAUAAGAGAUUCACAUGGAUUUCUUAUCAAAGCUGAGGCGGUAUAGGAUGGACCAGCGUCUGAUUAGCUAGUCGGUAAGGUAACGGCUUACCAAGGCGACGAUCAGUAGCCGACCUGAGAGCGUGAUUGGCCACAUUGGAACUGAGACACGGUCCAAACUCCUACGGGAGGCAGCAGUGGGGAAUAAUGCACAAUGGGCGAAAGCCUGAUGCAGCAACGCCGCGUGAGUGAUGAAGGCCUUCGGGUCGUAAAACUCCGUCCUCAAGGAAGAUGAUGACGGUACUUGAGGAGGAAGCCCCGGCUAACUACGUGCCAGCCGCCGCAGUAA